AUAGAAUGUUCGCACACGUUUUCAAUAGUAUUUCAUCACACAAAUAAUUUUUGUAGAUAUGCCCUGGUGUAUUUAAAGAUAAAGUGCAAAGAUAUCUUGCUGAGCAUAACAAUUCACCUGUCAGUGUUGCUUUCCUGAUAUGGGACCGAAUACAGGUUGUUGGCUUCCAAAUUCCAUUCUGAUUCCCUUGCAUCAGCACAGACCCUUUUCAUUCUGUUAACAGUCGCAUAGUGAGAGGAAUAUUUUUACUGAAGUUACAUAGUCC